rnacentral:rRNA from 1 species
ACUCCUACGGGAGGCAGCAGUGGGGAAUUUUGGACAAUGGGCGAAAGCCUGAUCCAGCAAUGCCGCGUGAGUGAAGAAGGCCUUCGGGUUGUAAAGCUCUUUUGUCAGGGAAGAAACGGUGAAAGCUAAUAUCUUUUGCUAAUGACGGUACCUGAAGAAUAAGCACCGGCUAACUACGUGCCAGCAGCCGCGGUAAUACGUAGGGUGCAAGCGUUAAUCGGAAUUACUGGGCGUAAAGCGUGCGCAGGCGGUUUUGUAAGUCUGAUGUGAAAUCCCCGGGCUCAACCUGGGAAUUGCAUUGGAGACUGCAAGGCUAGAAUCUGGCAGAGGGGGGUAGAAUUCCACGUGUAGCAGUGAAAUGCGUAGAUAUGUGGAGGAACACCGAUGGCGAAGGCAGCCCCCUGGGUCAAGAUUGACGCUCAUGCACGAAAGCGUGGGGAGCAAACAGGAUUAGAAACCCGUGUAGUCC